UACGGGGGGAGCAAGCGUUGUUCGGAUUUACUGGGCGUAAAGGGCGCGUAGGCGGCGCAACAAGUCACUUGUGAAAUCUCCGGGCUUAACCCGGAGCGGUCAAGUGAUACUGUCGUGCUAGAGUGCGGAAGGGGCUACUGGAAUUCUCGGUGUAGCGGUGAAAUGCGUAGAUAUCGAGAGGAACACCUGCGGCGAAGGCGGCUUUCUGGGACGGGUACUGACG
rnacentral:rRNA from 1 species